AGUGAAUACAUAGCUCAAUGAAGCGAACCGGGAGAACUGAAACAUCUAAGUACCCCGAGGAAAAGAAAUCAACCGAGAUUCCGAAAGUAGCGGCGAGCGAAAUUGGAUUAGCCCUUAAGCUUUACAUGUGUUAGACGAACGGUCUGGAAAGUCCGACGAUACAGGGUGAUAGUCCCGUAGUUGACGAUGCAUGUUCAGUGAAAUCGAGUAGGGCGGGACACGUGUUAUCCUGUCUGAAUAUGGGGGGACCAUCCUCCAAGGCUAAAUACUCCUGACUGACCGAUAGUGAACCAGUACCGUGAGGGAAAGGCGAAAAGAACCCCUGUGAGGGGAGUGAAAUAGAACCUGAAACCGUGUACGUACAAGCAGUAGGAGCACCUUCGUGGUGUGACUGCGUACCUUUUGUAUAAUGGGUCAGCGACUUAUAUUCAGUGGCAAGGUUAACCAUCUAGGGGAGCCGUAGGGAAACCGAGUCUUAACUGGGCGCCAUAGUCUCUGGAUAUAGACCCGAAACCGAGUGAUCUAGCCAUGGGCAGGUUGAAGGUUGAGUAACAUCAACUGGAGGACCGAACCGACUAAUGUUGAAAAAUUAGCGGAUGACUUGUGGCUAGGGGUGAAAGGCCAAUCAAACUCGGAGAUAGCUGGUUCUCCCCGAAAGCUAUUUAGGUAGCGCCUCGGACGAAUACUACUGGGGGUAGAGCACUGUUAAGGCUAGGGGGUCAUCCCGACUUACCAACCCUUUGCAAACUCCGAAUACCAGUAAGUACUAUCCGGGAGACACACGGCGGGUGCUAACGUCCGUCGUGGAGAGGGAAACAACCCAGACCGCCAGCUAAGGUCCCAAAUUACAGCUAAGUGGGAAACGAUGUGGGAAGGCUUAGACAGCUAGGAUGUUGGCUUAGAAGCAGCCAUCAUUUAAAGAAAGCGUAAUAGCUCACUAGUCGAGUCGGCCUGCGCGGAAGAUGUAACGGGGCUAAGUUGUAAACCGAAGCUGCGGCAAUGUUCUUUGAACAUUGGGUAGGGGAGCGUUCUGUAAGCCGUUGAAGGUGUGUUGUAAAGCAUGC
rnacentral:rRNA from 1 species